UGGGGAAUUUUGGACAAUGGGCGAAAGCCUGAUCCAGCAAUGCCGCGUGCAGGAAGCAGGCCUUCGGGUUGUAAACUGCUUUUGUACGGAACGAAACGGUCUUUUUUAAUACAAGGGGCUAAUGACGGUACCGUAAGAAUAAGCACCGGCUAACUACGUGCCAGCAGCUGCGGUAAUACGUAGGGUGCGAGCGUUAAUCGGAAUUACUGGGCGUAAAGCGUGCGCAGGCGGUUAUAUAAGACAGUUGUGAAAUCCCCGGGCUCAACCUGGGAAUUGCAUCUGUGACUGUAUAGCUAUAGUACGGUAGUGGGGGAUGGAAUUCCGCGGGUAGCAGUUAAAUGCGGAGAGAUGCGGAGGAACACCGAUGGCGAAGGCAAUCCCCUGGACCUGUCCUGACGAUCACGCACGAAAGCAUGGGGUGAAAAUA
rnacentral:rRNA from 1 species